GACGAACGCUGGCGGCGUGCUUAACACAUGCAAGUCGAACGGAAAGGCCCUGCUUUUGUGGGGUGCUCGAGUGGCGAACGGGUGAGUAACACGUGAGUAACCUGCCCUUGACUUUGGGAUAACUUCAGGAAACUGGGGCUAAUACCGGAUAGGAGCUCCUGCUGCAUGGUGGGGUUGGAAAGUUUCGGCGGUUGGGGAUGGACUCGCGGCUUACCAGCUUGUUGGUGGGGUAGUGGCUUACCAAGGCUUUGACGGGUAGCCGGCCUGAGAGGGUGACCGGCCACAUUGGGACUGAGAGACGGCCCAGACUCCUACGGGAGGCAGCAGUGGGGAAUAUUGCACAAUGGGUGGAAGCCUGAUGCAGCAACGCCGCGUGCGGGAUGACGGCCUUCGGGUUGUAAACCGCUUUCGCCUGUGACGAAGCGUGAGUGACGGUAAUGGGUAAAGAAGCACCGGCUAACUACGUG
rnacentral:rRNA from 1 species